rnacentral:rRNA from 1 species
CAGUCGAGCGGUAGAGAGAAGCUUGCUUCUCUUGAGAGCGGCGGACGGGUGAGUAAUGCCUAGGAAUCUGCCUGAUAGUGGGGGAUAACGUUCGGAAACGGACGCUAAUACCGCAUACGUCCUACGGGAGAAAGCAGGGGACCUUCGGGCCUUGCGCUAUCAGAUGAGCCUAGGUCGGAUUAGCUAGUUGGUGAGGUAAUGGCUCACCAAGGCGACGAUCCGUAACUGGUCUGAGAGGAUGAUCAGUCACACUGGAACUGAGACACGGUCCAGACUCCUACGGGAGGCAGCAGUGGGGAAUAUUGGACAAUGGGCGAAAGCCUGAUCCAGCCAUGCCGCGUGUGUGAAGAAGGUCUUCGGAUUGUAAAGCACUUUAAGUUGGGAGGAAGGGCAGUUGCCUAAUACGUAACUGUUUUGACGUUACCGACAGAAUAAGCACCGGCUAACUCUGUGCCAGCAGCCGCGGUAAUACAGAGGGU